rnacentral:tRNA from 1 species
CGGGGCGUGGCGCAGCCUGGUGGCGCGUACGGUUCGGGACCGUAAGGUCGGAGGUUCAAAUCCUCUCGCCCCGACCA